GCCCCGUUGGCUCAGUGGCGAGAGCACCGGUCUACGAAACCGGGGGUCGCACGUUCAAGUCGUGCACGGGGUACCA
rnacentral:tRNA from 1 species